AUGGGUAAGAAAGGGUUAAAAUAUGGUAAGGAAAGGGUUAAAAUUGGAUUUUUGGGUUACUGGUUUGUACUGGGAGCCAUACUGGGAGCACUGGGAGGGGUUACUGGUCCAUACUGGGAAGGACUGGGAUGCAUACUGGGAGCACUGGGAGCGGGGAGAAUCAUACUGGGAGCACUGGGAGCCUUACUGGGAGCACUGGGAGAGGGUUUGGCCCAUACUGGACCAUACUGGGAGCCAAACUGGUCCAUACUGGGAGCACUGGGAGCUGUUACUGGUCCAUACUGGUCGCACUGGUUUGUACUGGGAGCCCCGGCGAUGACGUCACCGCCCCGCCCGCCAAUAAAAUCGCUCUUCUAACCCCGCUUCGUGCAUGACGUCA
rnacentral:lncRNA from 1 species